UUCGCCCUUAGAGUUUGAUCCUGGCUCAGGACGAACGCUGGCGGCGCGCCUAACACAUGCAAGUCGAACGAGCGAGAGAGAGCUUGCUUUCUCGAGCGAGUGGCGAACGGGUGAGUAACGCGUGAGGAACCUGCCUCAAAGAGGGGGACAACAGUUGGAAACGACUGCUAAUACCGCAUAAGCCCACAGCUCGGCAUCGAGCAGAGGGAAAAGGAGCAAUCCGCUUUGAGAUGGCCUCGCGUCCGAUUAGCUAGUUGGUGAGGUAACGGCCCACCAAGGCGACGAUCGGUAGCCGGACUGAGAGGUUGAACGGCCACAUUGGGACUGAGACACGGCCCAGACUCCUACGGGAGGCAGCAGUGGGGAAUAUUGCACAAUGGGGGAAACCCUGAUGCAGCGACGCCGCGUGGAGGAAGAAGGUCUUCGGAUUGUAAACUCCUGUUGUUGAGGAAGAUAAUGACGGUACUCAACAAGGAAGUGACGGCUAACUACGUGCCAGCAGCCGCGGUAAAACGUAGGUCACAAGCGUUGUCCGGAAUUACUGGGUGUAAAGGGAGCGCAGGCGGGAAGGCAAGUUGGAAGUGAAAUCCAUGGGCUCAACCCAUGAACUGCUUUCAAAACUGUUUUUCUUGAGUAGUGCAGAGGUAGGCGGAAUUCCCGGUGUAGCGGUGGAAUGCGUAGAUAUCGGGAGGAACACCAGUGGCGAAGGCGGCCUACUGGGCACCAACUGACGCUGAGGCUCGAAAGUGUGGGUAGCAAACAGGAUUAGAUACCCUGGUAGUCCACACUGUAAACGAUGAUUACUAGGUGUUGGAGGAUUGACCCCUUCAGUGCCGCAGUUAACACAAUAAGUAAUCCACCUGGGGAGUACGACCGCAAGGUUGAAACUCAAAGGAAUUGACGGGGGCCCGCACAAGCAGUGGAGUAUGUGGUUUAAUUCGACGCAACGCGAAGAACCUUACCAAGUCUUGACAUCCUGCGACGCACAUAGAAAUAUGUGUUUCCUUCGGGACGCAGAGACAGGUGGUGCAUGGUUGUCGUCAGCUCGUGUCGUGAGAUGUUGGGUUAAGUCCCGCAACGAGCGCAACCCUUAUGGUCAGUUACUACGCAAGAGGACUCUGGCCAGACUGCCGUUGACAAAACGGAGGAAGGUGGGGAUGACGUCAAAUCAUCAUGCCCUUUAUGACUUGGGCUACACACGUACUACAAUGGCGUUAAACAAAGAGAAGCAAGACCGCGAGGUGGAGCAAAACUCAGAAACAACGUCCCAGUUCGGACUGCAGGCUGCAACUCGCCUGCACGAAGUCGGAAUUGCUAGUAAUCGCAGAUCAGCAUGCUGCGGUGAAUACGUUCCCGGGCCUUGCACACACCGCCCGUCA
rnacentral:rRNA from 1 species